rnacentral:rRNA from 1 species
UACGUAGGGGGCGAGCGUUGUCCGGAAUUAUUGGGCGUAAAGCGCGUGUAGGCGGCUCGGUAAGUCUGCUGUGAAAGUCCAGGGCUCAACCCUGGAAUGCCGGUGGAUACUGUCGAGCUCGAGUCCGGAAGAGGCGAGUGGAAUUCCUGGUGUAGCGGUGAAAUGCGCAGAUAUCAGGAGGAACACCAAUGGCGAAGGCAGCUCGCUGGGACGUGACUGACGCUGAGACGCGAAAGCGUGGGGAGCAAACAGG